CAGGGGUCCCCCCGCGACGAUAGAUCAUGAACCCCGUCAGGCCCGGAAGGGAGCAGCGGUAGUGAUUGAUUCGUGCACGGGGCAUGGCUCCUGUAA
rnacentral:SRP_RNA from 2 species